GAUAAACGCUAGCGGCAGGCCUAACACAUGCAAGUCGAGGGGCAGCGGGUGGAGUAUUUCGGUACUCCUGCCGGCGACCGGCGCACGGGUGCGUAACGCGUAUGCAACCUACCUUUAACAGGGGGAUAAUCCGAAGAAAUUUGGUCUAAUACCCCAUAAUAUCAUUUAAGGCAUCUUAGAUGGUUGAAAAUUCCGAUGGUUAGAGAUGGGCAUGCGUUGUAUUAGCUAGUUGGUGAGGUAACGGCUCACCAAGGCUACGAUACAUAGGGGGACUGAGAGGUUUUCCCCCCACACUGGUACUGAGACACGGACCAGACUCCUACGGGAGGCAGCAGUGAGGAAUAUUGGUCAAUGGACGCAAGUCUGAACCAGCCAUGCCGCGUGCAGGAUGAAGGUGCUAUGCAUUGUAAACUGCUUUUGUACGAGGGUAAAUGCAGGUACGUGUACCUGUUUGAAAGUAUCGUACGAAUAAGGGUCGGCUAACUCCGUG
rnacentral:rRNA from 1 species